rnacentral:rRNA from 1 species
AACGAACGCUGGCGGCAUGCCUAACACAUGCAAGUCGAACGAACUCUUCGGAGUUAGUGGCGCACGGGUGCGUAACGCGUGGGAAUCUGCCCUUGGGUACGGAAUAACUCAGAGAAAUUUGUGCUAAUACCGUAUAAUGUCUUCGGACCAAAGAUUUAUCGCCAAAGGAUGAGCCCGCGUAAGAUUAGCUAGUUGGUAGG